rnacentral:rRNA from 1 species
CAGUCGCCGCGGGAAUACGUAGGUGGCAAGCGUUAUCCGGAAUUAUUGGGCGUAAAGCGCGCGCAGGCGGUUUCUUAAGUCUGAUGUGAAAGCCCUGGGCUCAACCUGGGAAUUGCAGUGGAUACUGGGCGACUAGAGUAAGGUAGAGGAUAGUGGAAUUUCCGGUGUAGCAGUGAAAUGCGUAGAGAUCGGAAGGAACAUCUGUGGCGAAGGCGACUAUCUGGGCCAUUACUGACACUGAGGCACGAAAGCGUGGGGAGCAAACGGGAUUAGAUACCCGCGUAGUCCCUGUCUCUUAUAC